GACGAACCGUGCGAACGUUAUUCGGAAUCAUUGGGCUUAAAGGGCGCGUAGGCGGCGGCAUAAGUUGGAAGUGAAAUCCCAUCGGCUCAACCGUGGAAUUGCUCCCAGUACUGCGUCGCUCGAGGGGGAUAGGGGUCUGCGGAACUACCGGUGGAGCGGUGAAAUGUGUUGAUAUCGGUGGGAACGCCAGUGGCGAAAGCGGCAGACUUGACCCUUCCUGACGCUGAGGCGCGAAAGCUAGGGGAGCAAACGGG
rnacentral:rRNA from 1 species